CCCCCACUAGUCUGGGAUACCACUUGGAAACAGGUGCUAAUACCGGAUAAGAAAGCGGAUCGCAUGAUCAGCUUUUAAAAGGCGGCGUAAGCUGUCGCUAUGGGAUGGCCCCGCGGUGCAUUAGCUAGUUGGUAAGGUAAAGGCUUACCAAGGCGAUGAUGCAUAGCCGAGUUGAGAGACUGAUCGGCCACAUUGGGACUGAGACACGGCCCAAACUCCUACGGGAGGCAGCAGCG
rnacentral:rRNA from 1 species